rnacentral:rRNA from 1 species
UACGUAGGGGGCAAGCGUUGUCCGGAAUUACUGGGCGUAAAGAGUGUGUAGGCGGUGCUCUAAGUUCGGUGUGAAAUCUCCCGGCUUAACUGGGAGGGUGCGCCGGAAACUGGAGUGCUUGAGCGCGGGAGAGGAAAGCGGAAUUCCUGGUGUAGCGGUGAAAUGCGUAGAUAUCAGGAGGAACACCUGUGGUGUAGACAGCUUACUGGACCAUUUCUGACGCUGAGACACGAAAGCGUGGGUAGCAAACAGG